CCAUCCGCUCUCCCACUGACCAGAUCAAACCCCGCACCUUGGUUGAGCUUGUCUUAAUAAGCCUUAAUGUCUCUGGUAAUGAAUCAUGUAACUCUUGUUCUCUAAGGUCGGAGCUGUCGCUCUGCCGCUCUCCUUAUCGGCACUGAGCUGAUCUGAAGGUUGCUGAAAGCACGGGCACCACCCGCCCCCUGCCUCUGUCCUGCUGGGACACGCACUCAAAGACAAGACAGACAGAGGUCAUACCCUUACUGGCUAAGCAGUUGUGCUGGACACUGAACUCUACAGUAGUUUCUGUCAUCUCGCCUUGCUUUAAUGAGAUUUAGUGGAUAAUAGGCUGCUGGCUCCUGCUCAUUGAUCCAGACAAGCACAUCUCCCAGCAGCUUAAAGAACCAAGGCUUGCCACAUUGAUUGCAGCGAGCCCUGGACAACUUAUUUGGAGACACAAUAUCAUGGAAAACCUGACUGCCUCAACCAGGAAGCUUAAACUGGGCUGUUUUUGGAUCUUCCAGCAGUCAGCAGUCAGUUCACUGACCACAGAAUCAAGGUUUUGCCAUGGCAAUCCCAGUCCCCUGACCUGAACCCCUUAGAAAACCUGAGGGAUGAGCUGAAGAGGAGAGUUCACAUGUGUGGACUACUGACUCUGGAGAGAUACUGUAUGAAGGAAUGGUCUCAGAUCCCUCGCCAUGUGUUCUUCUGUCUUCUGAGAAGACUUAGAGCUGUUAUCUUUGCAGAGGGAGGCUGCACAAAGUAUUACAUGAAGGAGUGCCAACAAUUGUAUUGCCAACAAUAUUUGUUUCAUGAUCAGGCUUAUGUUAUUUUUAAGUUUUAAUCAUUAAACUUCAAAUGAAAGUUA